UGGGGGACUGCCCCCUGCUCAGUGAGACAGAGAUGGGGAUGUGCAUAGUCUGGUGUGCAGCCAUGUAUCUCUUGGGAGCAAGCCAAACCGAUGCUAAAAUAACCCAAACACCGAGUCUGCUGCUGGAGAGAGGACAGACUGCCUAUCUCAGAUGUCAGCAAACCUAUGGGCAUAACAGCAUGUUCUGGUACCGGCAGGACCCAGGGCAGGGACUGCAGCUGCUCUUUAACUUCUACUAUAAAGAAGAAAGAGAGAAAGGCACAAAUUCUAGUCACUUCCAGGCCGACCAGCCGCAGGAUGAUCUCUUUCACUUGAACAUCUCAUCUGUGCAGCCAGAGCACUCGGCUGUGUAUUUCUGCGCCAGCAGCUCAGACACAGCGCUUCAGAGUCACCUCCUCCCUCUACAAAAACCUCAUCUGUUCUUUGUCUCUCUGCAGCCCCACCACAGGGACAGCAACAAGGCACAUUCUCUGUGA